ACCCAUGUGGCGAAAUUGGUAGACGCGCUACUUUGAGGUGGUAGUUCCUUCGGGUGUGCUGGUUCGAGUCCAGUCGUGGGUA
rnacentral:tRNA from 1 species